rnacentral:rRNA from 1 species
UACGGAGGAUUCAAGCGUUAUCCGGAUUUAUUGGGUUUAAAGGGUGCGUAGGCGGUCGGAUAAGUUAGAGGUGAAAUCCCGGGGCUCAACUUCGGAAUUGCCUCUGAUACUGUUCGGCUAGAGAGUAGUUGCGGUAGGCGGAAUGUAUGGUGUAGCGGUGAAAUGCUUAGAGAUCAUACAGAACACCGAUUGCGAAGGCAGCUUACAAAGCUACUUCUGACGUUGAGGCACGAAAGCGUGGGGAGCAAACAGG